GGGGGUGUACUAGUCUCGACAGGGGAGGCUGGUGCUGUGUGGCAGGUCGUGGCGUCUACCCACGUUAAAAUGGACACGGCUAUAAAUGCCAAAAACAACCAACCUGCUUUGGCUUACGCCGCCUAAGGCGCUGUAGGCUAAGGUGCUGGGUCAUAGUAACCCAGCCGUCCACAUCUUUCGGCUCUAUGCGGAGGGUGUCUGGGCGUCACCAAUCAUAGAGUGCGGCAUCCGUCACGCCGAUACGCGGAGCCAAAGAACUAUCGGCUGGCACUGCCCGAACCGCGUCUGAUGGGGCUAGGUGGUGCGAGAACAAACAUCGGACUAAACCUGUAGAGGCAUAGUAUCGAAUCUUUUGGACGCCGGUGCGAAUCCGACCACCUCCACUG
rnacentral:tmRNA from 1 species